GAUGAACGCUGGCGGCGUGCCUAAUACAUGCAAGUCGAGCGAAUGGAUCAAGAGCUUGCUCUUAUGAAGUUAGCGGCGGACGGGUGAGUAACACGUGGGUAACCUGCCCAUAAGACUGGGAUAACUCCGGGAAACCGGGGCUAAUACCGGAUAACAUUUUGAACCGCAUGGUUCGAAAUUGAAAGGCGGCUUCGGCUGUCACUUAUGGAUGGACCCGCGUCGCAUUAGCUAGUUGGUGAGGUAACGGCUCUCCAAGGCAACGAUGCGUAGCCGACCUGAGAGGGUGAUCGGCCACACUUGGACUGAAACACGGCCCAGACUCCUACGGGAGGCAGCAGUAGGGAAUCUUCCGCAAUGGACGAAAGUCCGACGGAACAACGCCGCGUGAGUGAUGAAGGCUUUCGGGUCGUAAAACUCUGUUGUUAGGGAAGAACAAGUGUUAGUUGAAUAAGCUGGCACCUUGACGGUACCUAACCAGAAAGCCACGGCUAACUACGUGCCAGCAGCCGCAGUAA
rnacentral:rRNA from 1 species